rnacentral:rRNA from 1 species
GAUGAACGCUGGCGGCGUGCCUAAUACAUGCAAGUCGAGCGAACAGAUGAGGAGCUUGCGCCUCGGACGUUAGCGGCGGACGGGUGAGUAACACGUGGAUAACCUACCUAUAAGACGGGGAUAACUUCGGGAAAGCGGAGCUAAUACGGUAUAAGAUGCUGAACCGCAUGGGGGGAUAGUGAAAGACGGUGUUUGUGUCACGUAUAGAUGGAUCCGGGCCGGAUUAGCUAGUUGGUAAGGUAAAGGCUUAUGAAGGCAACGAUGCGUAGCCGAGCUGAGAGGCUGGUCGCCCACCUGGGAGCUGAGACACGCUCCAGACUCCUACGGGAGGCCGCAGUAGGGAACGUGCCGCAAUGGGCGAAAGCCUGACGGAGCAACGCCGCGUCAGUGAUGACGGUCUUCGGAUCGUAAAACUCUGUUAUUAGGGAAGAACAAAUGUGGAAGUAACCAUGCACGUCUUGACGGUACCUAAUCAGAAAGCCACGGCUAACUACGUG